rnacentral:misc_RNA from 1 species
UCCGUGUUAACCACGGCAGUCUCGUGUGAUAAACAACACACGACAGGGGUUGCGCUCGUUACCCCACUGAAGGGAACAUUUCACAACACGAGCUGACGACAACCAUGCAGCACCUGUCUAGCACCCUCGAUAGGCUCCCAACGUUUCUGCUGGGAUGCAGCUAGAUUUCAAGCCCUGGUAAGGUUCCUCGCUUACCAUCGAAUUAAACCACACGCUCCACCGCUUGUGCGGGCCCCCGUCAAUUCCUUUGAGUUUCGGUCUUGCGACCGUACUCCCCAGGCGGAGUGUUUCACGCGUUAGCUGGGCCCCUGAUCCACGUAGACCAAGGGCGAACACUCAUCGUUUACGGCAUGGACUAC